rnacentral:misc_RNA from 1 species
GAUGAAGAACGUAGCGAAAUGCGAUAAGUAAUGUGAAUUGCAGAAUUCAGUGAAUCAUCGAAUCUUUGAACGCACAUUGCGCCCGCCAGAAUUCUGGCGGGCAUGCCUGUUCGAGCGUCAUUUCAACCAUCAAGCCCCCGGCUUGUGUUGGGGACCUGCGGCUGCCGCAGGCCCUGAAAACCAGUGGCGGGCUCGCUAGUCACUCCGAGCGUAGUAAUACAUCUCGCUCAGGGCGUGCUGCGGGUUCCGGCCGUUAAAAAGCCUUAUUUACCCAAGGUUGACCUCGGAUCAGGUAGGAAGACCCGCUGAACUUAAGCAUAUCAAUAAGCGGAGGA